rnacentral:rRNA from 1 species
UUGAAAGGGAAACGAUUGAAGUCAGUCAUACCAACGGGAAAUCAACCUUUUGAGCUCGNACUCGUGGAUUUUGAAGAGUUUCAAAGCCUUCGGAUUCGCGAGAUUGGGAUCUCUUGGUGUACUUUUUCGUACGGUUAGUCAACAUCGGUUUUGAAUGUCAUAAAAUGACUGGAGGAAUGUAGCUUCGAUCUCGUAUUGAAGUGUUAUAGCCUUUGGUAGAUGUGAUGUUUGAGACCGAGGAUUGCAACGGAUACCCUUCAGGGCUAUUCGUCUGAUCUCUGAUACGUUGCCUUGAUGUUGAAAGCUCGCUUAUGAUGUUAGGGUAUUACGGUCAAAAGGUUAGAGCGAAUUACAUUCGUUAAGGAUGUUGACGUA